rnacentral:rRNA from 1 species
UACGUAGGGUGCAAGCGUUGUCCGGAAUUAUUGGGCGUAAAGAGCUCGUAGGCGGUCUGUCGCGUCUGCUGUGAAAACUCGGGGCUUAACCCCGGGCCUGCAGUGGGUACGGGCAGACUAGAGUGCGGUAGGGGAGACUGGAAUUCCUGGUGUAGCGGUGAAAUGCGCAGAUAUCAGGAGGAACACCGGCGGUGUAGACGGCUCUCUGGACCGUGACUGACGCUGAGAUACGAAAGCGGGGGUAGCAAACAGG